CAGAACGUAGUCUAAUCUAGUAGGACAUUUCCCUUACACUGAGAAAGAACUUGUGCAAAUCAAGUCGCUCUGA
rnacentral:tRNA from 1 species